GGUUACCUCUCCACAGAGUCAUAUUUCGUUCACCUAUGACCAGCACACAGGUAGGGACAGUCCUGCUCCUCAGCCUCAAACGAGUCUCUCUUUCUCUGAGGAUUGUGGAUUUAAGAUCCCCCCCCUGGAGCUGGUUGAUAAUAUCGGAUGAUUGACAGAUGGCUUCCCCAUUUACAGAGAUGGAGGGCAUCACUGUCCUGUUCUCUCUUGUGAUGUUCAGCUUGUUCACACUGGCUGGCAUGUUGAAGGAAACAUAUAUGGAGAUCCAAGAAAGAAGAGAAGACAGAAGUGGGAAGCCCGAUCAGGAGCUGCUCAUAGUCUGACACGCCGGAUAAUCCAGUCCAGGCAGACGCCGCAAUGCCUGCUGGAUAUGAAAGCGUUGUGUUUUAUGGCUCCUGUCAGGCUGUAGAGUUGCUGGCAGGGCGUCAGCACGCCUGCUGUCUCCUGGCCUACGUGCGCCCGGCCAGCUCACAGAUGUUACCUCUUAAGUCAAAAGGAUGGCUCUUUAAUUAAUAAUGGCUGUCCGGCAACACUUGACAAACCUGCACGCCAUUGAUCGAUUGCGAAGUGCUUCUCGGGGAAAGACUGGAUCACAGUGAGACAUUACAGUGUACAGUGCUGUCUCUUCUUCUCAGCUUUUUUUUUUGAUAUAAGGGCUGUAGGCGUCUUCAUGUUUGUCGGUUUAAACGAGAAUUCGCAGCAAUCGCUGCCUUAGCUGCUGUGGAACUGAGGUGUGAAAAAAUCAAUCAACGUGUGAUCAGACCAAGAAGAUGAUUCUCUGAUUUUUGAGAGUGGAGAAGGCCAGACGUGGCCAUCCCGCUAUAAAUCUCCCAUCACCAUGAGUACAAUAACCUGUAUGUUUACAUAGCUUUCUCAUUGGCAAUAAACAGCUCAUGACCCUUUUUUAACGGCUGAGUAUUUAUCUAGCUGGGCGUUACACUCCGCGUGCCGAGCCCCGCCGUUGCUCACAAUAGCCAACAGAGGGCGCACUGCAGCUCUCCGGCCCGGACACGUCAACCACUCGCUGGCCACCUGCUGAACUUUACUCAACACGCGCCCUGCCUGAGCACACCGCUACGACGUCACACCACUCGCUUUAUUUAUUCCUUGCAAACACGCAACUUACUGUUCAUGGACUUUGCCGCUGCUCAAUUUACGGUGAAAAAAUUAAAAAUUACGCAUGUUCACUCCUUUAUUCACUUCUAGAAAUUUGCUAUUAACCCGACACCUGUCUUUAUACCUCUGUCAGUGGACUGGGAACGAGCCAUUGACUUUCAAUCGGAUAUAGAUGAACCACCUCACCUUUUUUCUGAACA